rnacentral:rRNA from 1 species
UACGAAGGGGGCUAGCGUUGCUCGGAAUCACUGGGCGUAAAGCGCACGUAGGCGGCUUUCUAAGUCAGAGGUGAAAUCCUGGAGCUCAACUCCAGAACUGCCUUUGAUACUGGAGAGCUUGAGUUCGGGAGAGGUGAGUGGAACUGCGAGUGUAGAGGUGAAAUUCGUAGAUAUUCGCAAGAACACCAGUGGCGAAGGCGGCUCACUGGCCCGAUACUGACGCUGAGGUGCGAAAGCGUGGGGAGCGAACAGG